rnacentral:rRNA from 1 species
UACUGGAAACGGUGGCUAAUACCGCAUAACGUCGCAAGACCAAAGAGGGGGACCUUCGGGCCUCUUGCCAUCAGAUGUGCCCAGAUGGGAUUAGCUUGUUGGUGAGGUAACGGCUCACCAAGGCGACGAUCCCUAGCUGGUCUGAGAGGAUGACCAGCCACACUGGAACUGAGACACGGUCCAGACUCCUACGGGAGGCAGCAGUGGGGAAUAUUGCACAAUGGGCGCAAGCCUGAUGCAGCCAUGCCGCGUGUAUGAAGAAGGCCUUCGGGUUGUAAAGUACUUUCAGCGGGGAGGAAGGUGUUGUGGUUAAUAACCGCAGCAAUUGACGUUACCCGCAGAAGAAGCACCGGCUAACUCCGUGCCAGCAGCCGCGGUAAUACGGAGGGUGCAAGCGUUAAUCGGAAUUACUGGGCGUAAAGCGCACGCAGGCGGUCUGUCAAGUCGGAUGUGAAAUCCCCGGGCUCAACCUGGGAACUGCAUUCGAAACUGGCAGGC